UUUCGCUCUGCGCAGGCCAGAGGGUGGGACCCCAGCGGCUAAAGCACCUGAAGCCCGGACGUAGCGGCGUGAGUUUCCCGGGCGCCUGGAGGCCCCGGAACUUCCAGAUGGUUUUCCAAAGUGGCUGCACCAUUUCUAUUUCCAGCAGUAGACAUAUGAGGAUCCCAGUUUCUCCAUAUCCUUAUCAACACUAUUUUAUCUUUUGGUGUGUUAGCAGGGAGCUGGAUCGGAAGUGGAGCAGCCGAGACUUGAACCUGCACCCAUAUGGGAUGCUGGCACUGCAGGCAGCGGCUUAACCCACCACCACACAGCACCAACCAGUCCCACCUCAUAGAGUUUUGAUGAAGAUUAAAUGAAUGUGUUUUAACUAUCCCAUAACUACUUGUUGAAUGAGUGAGUAUAUUACAUAAGAGACAUUGUUUGGAUUGU